rnacentral:rRNA from 1 species
CGGCGAGUGAAGCGGCAAAAGCUCAAAUUUGAAACCCUCGGGAUUGUAAUUUGAAGAUUUGGCAUUGGAGAAAGCUAACCCAAGUUGCUUGGAAUAGUACGUCAUAGAGGGUGACAACCCCGUCUGGCUAACCGUUCUCCAUGUAUUGCCUUAUCAAAGAGUCGAGUUGUUUGGGAAUGCAGCUCAAAGUGGGUGGUAAACUCCAUCUAAAGCUAAAUACUGGUGAGAGACCGAUAGCGAACAAGUACUGUGAAGGAAAGGUGAAAAGAACUUUGAAAAGAGAGUGAAAUAGUAUGUGAAAUUGUUGAUAGGGAAGGAAAUGAGUGGAGAGUGGCCGAGGUUUCAGCCGCCCCUCGUGGGCGGUGUACUGCCGACGCCGAGUCAUCGAUAGCGAGACGAGGGUUACAAAUGGGAGCGCCUUUCGGGCGUUCUCCCCUAACCCUCCACACUGCCACCGACAACAUAAUCCACCCUUUUCACCCGUCUUGAAAC